GCGGAGGAAAAGAAACCAACAGGGAUUGCCCUAGUAACGGCGAGUGAAGCGGCAACAGCUCAAAUUUGAAAUCUGGCCUCCUUUGGGGGUCCGAGUUGUAAUUUGCAGAGGGCGCUUUGGCGUCGGUAGCGGUCUAAGUUCCUUGGAACAGGACGUCACAGAGGGUGAGAAUCCCGUACGUGGUCGCCUACCUUCGCCGUGUAAAGCCCCUUCGACGAGUCGAGUUGUUUGGGAAUGCAGCUCUAAAUGGGAGGUAAAUUUCUUCUAAAGCUAAAUACUGGCCAGAGACCGAUAGCGCACAAGUAGAGUGAUCGAAAGAUGAAAAGCACUUUGGAAAGAGAGUCAAACAGCACGUGAAAUUGUUGAAAGGGAAGCGCUUGCCGCCAGACGUGCCCGUGGUGGUUUUCCUCCGCGGGCAGGCCAGCAUCAGUUUGGGCGAUCGGAGAAGGGCCUCUGUCA
rnacentral:rRNA from 1 species